rnacentral:rRNA from 1 species
GACGAACGCUGGCGGCGCGCUUAACACAUGCAAGUCGAACGGAAAGGCCUGCUUUCCCUUGUGGAUUGCGGGUACUCGAGUGGCGAACGGGUGAGUAACACGUGAGUGAUCUGCCCCCAACUUGGGUAUAAGCCUGGGAAACUGGGUCUAAUUCCCGAUAGGACUGCAGGGUGGUGCCUGUGGUGGAAAACGAUUUUCUAGUGGUUGGGGAUGAGCUCGCGGCCUAUCAGCUUGUUGGUGGGGUAAUGGCCUACCAAGGCGGCGACGGGUAGCCGGCCUGAGAGGGUGGACGGCCACAUUGGGACUGAGAUACGGCCCAGACUCCUACGGGAGGCAGCAGUGGGGAAUAUUGCACAAUGGGCGGAAGCCUGAUGCAGCGACGCCGCGUGGGGGAUGACGGCCUUCGGGUUGUAAACUCCUUUCGACCGCGAGGAAGCCACCUGGUUGGAAGGGUGGUGACGGUAGUGGUAGAAGAAGCACCGGCUAACUACGU